GUUGAUCCUGCGGGAGACUACUGCUAGUGGGAUUCGAUUAAGUCAUGCAAGUUCAAAGCUCUUCGGAGCUUGGCAAAAGGCUCAGUAACACGUCGAUAAUCUGACUUUAGGUGGAGAAUAACCUCUGGGAAACUGAGGAUAAUACUCCCUAACUGAUUUCUAUUGGAAUUUGUUAUCAGUGAAAGCUCCGGCGCCUAAAGAUGAGUCGGCGGCAGAUUAGGCUGUUGGUGGUGUAAUGGACCACCAAACCUCAGAUCUGUAGGGGGGAUGAGAGUCCUAGCCCCGAGAAGGACACUGAGAUAAGGGUCCUAGCCCUACGGGGUGCAGCAGACGCGAAACCUAUACAAUGCACGAAAGUGUGAUAUGGGGAUCCUACGUGCUGGCGUUAUACGUCAGCUUUUGUGAAGCGUAAAUAACUUCGCGAAUAAAGGGUGGGCAAGACCGGUGCCAGCCGCCGCGGUAACACCGGCGCCCUGAGUGGUAGUCAUAUUUAUUGGGCCUAAAGCAUUCGUAGCCGGUUAAUUAAGUUCUUGGUGAAAUCUAAUGGCUUAACCAUUAGGCAUGCCAAGAAUACUGAUUGACUAGAGACCGGGAGAAGUUAGGAGUAUUCCUUGGGGAGCGGUAAAAUGUUGUAAUCCUUGGAGGACUAUCAGUGGCGAAGGCGCCUAACUAGAACGGAUCUGACGGUGAGGGAUGAAAGCUGGGGGAGCAAACCGGAUUAGAUACCCGGGUAGUCCCAGCCGUAAACGCUGCUUGCUAGGUGUUGCAUAUCUUUAGGGGGUAUGCAGUGUCGAAGUGAAGACGUUAAGCAAGCCGCCUGGGAAGUAUGGUCGCAAGGCUGAAACUUAAAGGAAUAGGCGGGGAACCACUACAAGCGGUGCGGCAUGUGGUUUAAUUGGAUUCUACGCCGGGAACCUUACCAGAAGCGACAGCAGAAUGAAAGUCAACCUGAAUGGUUUACUAGACGCGCUGAGAGGUGGUGCAUGGCCGCCGUCAGCUCGUGCCGUGAGGUGUUAGCUUAAGUGCUAAAUCGAGCGAGACCUAUGUCUUUAGUUGCUAUUAUUUUCUUUUGAAGGUAAGCACACUAAAGGGACUGCAUGUGUAAGCAUGAGGAAGGUAUAGGCUACGGUAGGUCAGUAUGCCCCGAAUCUUCUGGGCUACACACGUGCUGCAUUGGUUAAAACAACGGGCUGCAACUCCGAAAGGAGAAGCUAAUCUCUUAAAAUUAACCUGGUUCGAAUCGAGGGCUGCAACUCGCCCUCGUGAAGUCGAAAUCGCUAGUAAUCGUGCGUUAGCAUAGCACGGUGAAUACGUCCCUGGUUCUUGCACUCACUGCCUGUCACGCCAUCUGAGUUGGGUUUGGAUGAGGCCUAGUCAUUUGUCUAGUUCGAAUCUAGGUUCAGCGAAGCGGGCGAAGUCAACACAAGGUA
rnacentral:rRNA from 1 species